rnacentral:rRNA from 1 species
UUCUGGCUCAGGAUGAACGCUAGCGACAGGCUUAACACAUGCAAGUCGAGGGGCAGCAUAAAAGUAGCAAUACUUUGGUGGCGACCGGCGCACGGGUGAGUAACGCGUAUGCAACCUACCUAUCAGAGGGGAAUAACCCGGCGAAAGUCGGACUAAUACCGCAUAAAACAGGGGCACCGCAUGGUGAUAUUUGUUAAAGAAAUUCGCUGAUAGAUGGGCAUGCGUUCCAUUAGGUAGUUGGUGAGGUAACGGCUCACCAAGCCGACGAUGGAUAGGGGAACUGAGAGGUUGGUCCCCCACACUGGUACUGAGACACGGACCAGACUCCUACGGGAGGCAGCAGUGAGGAAUAUUGGUCAAUGGGCGGGAGCCUGAACCAGCCAAGUCGCGUGAAGGAAAAGAAGGAUCUAUGGUUCGUAAACUUCUUUUGCAGGGGAAUAGAGUGCAGGACGUGUCCUGUUUUGUAUGUACCCUGAGAAUAAGGAUCGGCUAACUCCGUGCCAGCAGCUGC